AGCCAGGUAGCUUGCCGGCCAGUUGGCUAAAGCUUGGUGCUGAUAAUGCCAUGGUUGCAGGUUCGAAUUCUGUACAGGUCA